CAACAGGUCUUUUUAAAGACCACUUUUUCCGUAUUUCCAUCCCUCU
rfam:Picea glauca, whole genome shotgun sequence.